rfam:HIV-1 isolate 99ET8 from Ethiopia truncated gag polyprotein precursor (gag) gene, partial cds; vif protein (vif) gene, complete cds; vpr gene, complete sequence; truncated tat protein (tat) gene, complete cds; rev gene, complete sequence; t
UUUUUUAGAGAAAAUUUAGCCUUCCAACAAGGGGAGGCCAAAGAAUUUCCUU